rnacentral:rRNA from 1 species
GACGAACGCUGGCGGCGUGCCUAAUACAUGCAAGUAGAACGCUGAAGGAGGAGCUUGCUUCUCUGGAUGAGUUGCGAACGGGUGAGUAACGCGUAGGUAACCUGCCUGUUAGCGGGGGAUAACUAUUGGAAACGAUAGCUAAUACCGCAUAAGAGUAGAUGUUUCAUGACAUUUGCUUAAAAGGUGCAAUUGCUUCACUACCAGAUGGACCUGCGUUGUAUUAGCUAGUUGGUGGGGUAACGGCUCACCAAGGCGACGAUACAUAGCCGACCUGAGAGGGUGAUCGGCCACACUGGGACUGAGGCACGGCCCAGACUCCUGCGGGUGGCAGCAGUAGGGGACCUUUGGGAAUGGACGGAAGGCUGAACGAGCAACGCCGCGUGAGUGACGAAGGUUUUCGUGUCGUAAAGCUCUGUUGUAAGAGAAGAACGAGUGGGAGAGUGAAAAGUGCACACUGUGACGGUAUCUUAACAGAAAGGGACGGCUAACUACGUG